rnacentral:rRNA from 1 species
CCUACGGGUGGCAGCAGUGGGGAAUAUUGCACAAUGGGGGAAACCCUGAUGCAGCGACGCCGCGUGAAGGAAGAAGUAUUUCGGUAUGUAAACUUCUAUCAGCAGGGAAGAAAAUGACGGUACCUGACUCAGAAGCCCCGGCUAACUACGUGACAGAAGCCGCGGUAAUACGUAGGGGGCACGCGUUAUCCGGAUUUACUGGGUGUAAAGGGGGCGUAGGCGGUUUAGCAAGUAAGAUGUGAAAGCCCGGGGCUCAACUGCGGGACUGCUUUUGAAACUGUUGAACUAGAGUGCAGGAGAGGGAAGUGGAAUUCCAUGUGUAGCGGUGAAAUGCGUAGAGAUGAGGAGGAACACCAGUGGCGAAGGCGGCUUACUGGACUGUAAAUGACGCUGAGGCUCGAAAGCGUGGGGAGCAAACAGGAUUAGAUACCCGAGUAGUC